rnacentral:lncRNA from 1 species
AAAGCCCUCGGUCAAGGCCCAUCUUUGCCGAGGGCUGGCCCUCGGCAAAGAAGGGGCGCUCGGCGGUGUGGGUCCAGAGUAACGGCGGCUCUGGAAGUUAGGCAUUGCCGAGCGCCCGUAGUUAAGCCCUCGGCAAAGCUCUGUCGGAGGUCAUGCUUUGCCGAGGGCCCGCCAGCCUGCCCUCGGCAACACCUCUCUUUGCCGAGGGUCUGGAGUGGGCCCUCGGCAAUUUUUUUUUUGUUUUUUUGGAUCUAUGUUUUUUUUCUUUCUGUGGCACACCUACACUAUUCUUAAGUACAUGCCAAAGUUUGGUUCAUUUUGAAUUAACUUUGGUAUAUUUUUUGGAUUUUUUGAAUUUGUUGAAUUUUUCGACAAAUUUCAAAUUCAAACUACAGGUGCAUUAAAUAAUAGUAUUUAAUUAUUUCAAUCAUAACAUUCAUGAUUGUUAGUGCAUUUGGAGGCCGUAUGCAGAAAGCCAUAUGAAAUAUCGAACGUUUACCCCCGAAACAUGUGAGAUGUUUGGGUUUUGUGCACCAGACGUUACCACAGACUCAGAAUUUUUUGAAAUUUUUAUCAUAGCAUCCACAUGUGAUAACUUGUUAUGUCGUCAAGUUUCGUGAUUUUCUGAGUUUGGUUUCAUUUUAUAUAUUCAAAAAAAUGAUUUCACGCAACUUGGUCCACAUGUUUCGGGGGGUAAACGUUCGAUAUUUCAUGUGGCUUUCUCCAUACGGCCUGGAAAUGCACUAUCAAUCAUGAAUGUCAUGAUUGAAAUAAUUAAAUACUAUUAUUUAAUGCACCUGUAGUUUGAAUUUGAAAUUUGUCGAAAAAUUCAACAAAUUCAAAAAAAUCCAAAAAAUAUAGCAAGUUAUUUCAAAAUGAACCAAACUUUGCCAUGUAGUUUAAAAUAGUGUAGGUGUGACAAAGAAAAAAACUAGAUAAAAAAAACUCAAAAAAAAAUAAAUUCUUUGCCGAGGGCCGUACUAUAGCCCUCUGCAAAGAAUUUAGAAAUUAAAAAUUUAAAUUCUUUGCCGAGGGCUAUGGUAAGACCCUCGGCAAAGAGUUUACACGUGGCACC